rnacentral:rRNA from 1 species
UACCAAAGCCAUAUCACUCUGCAGAUGAAGACCGGUUACUCACAAAAGCUAAGAAGGGCUGAGCUUGGUCAGUAGCUGAAUGGGAUCCCACAGGGGAAAAACUAAGUUGCUGUUGGAA